GUAUCAUUUUAAAAAAUAAUUUAAGAAUUUUAAUUUAUUUAGAGCUGUACAUUUCAUCCUCAUCACUAUACAUUUUAGUUUUACAUAAGGUGCUACAUAUGUGCUAAAAUUAUCUUUAUUUUUUUCGGUGAACCUGCAUAAAAAUGAUUAUUUCUUGACCAGCAUGAGUAGAUAUCACAUUUAUUAAUUUAAAUGAAAUGUUUGGGUUUAAACUGUGUAUAUAUGAGAGGAUGAAAGAGGAGGAGUUUAACAUCUCAGAUGAUCUUGUUACAUUUGACUGUCACAAAGCUCAGUCCUGCUGCAGUGAACACACACAUGUACAAUGAUACUUCAUUCAGUCAUUCUGCUCUCUGCCUUGACAUGUGUGAGUUUUGGAGAUGAAAUCACACCAGACAGCACUGAAGAGUCUGCUGCAGAGGGUUCAACUGUUACAUUAUCCUGCAGUUAUACAUCUGCAGAUUAUCUACACUGGUACCGUCAGUAUCCUGGAUCAGCUCCUGAAUUUCUUGUGCUUAAAAUAGAGAGUGUGAAAGACACUAAGACAUCGGAGGUAGAUCCCAAGUUCUCUACUAAGAUCAGAAAAGAAAAACAAGAAACAAAAGAGAUCAAACGUGUGGAUCUGGAGAUCUCCUCUGCUGCAGUAUCAGACUCUGCUCUGUAUUACUGUGCUCUGAGGCCCACAGUCACAGGAAACACAUCAACACUGUACAAAAACCUGACACAACUGAAGGUGUACUACUAAUUUCCUUCCAUAAAAAUCUAUCCAAAUUAAAGGUAGAUUAAUAAUUAAUAAUAUAUAAAUAUGUGAAGGUGAAAAGUGCAGCAGUGACAUGAUAUGUUAUGAUUCUUCUUUUUAAAAAAAAAAUAAAUAAAAAAAUAAAAUAAAUGACUUAAUGUUAUUACUGCUCUUCGUACACACUGUACUCUUAGGAUGUUCUGCAAACCACUGAUUGAUUGUUGUUUUAAAUAGAAUUUAACUUGCUUUUUGUGUCUAA